UGCCAGCAGCCGCGGUAAUACGGAGGGGGUUAGCGUUGUUCGGAAUUACUGGGCUUAGAGAGCUCGUAGGUGGUUAAGAAAGUUGGUGGUGAAAUCCCAAGGCUUAACCUUGGAACUGCCACCAAAACUUUUUGACUAGAGUAUGAUAGAGGAAAGCAGAAUUUCUAGUGUAGAGGUGAAAUUCGUAGAUAUUAGAAAGAAUACCAAUUGCGAAGGCAGCUUUCUGGAUCAUUACUGACACUGAGGAACGAAAGCAUGGGUAGCGAAGAGGAUUAGAUA
rnacentral:rRNA from 1 species